rnacentral:rRNA from 1 species
UACGUAGGGUCCAAGCGUUAAUCGGAAUUACUGGGCGUAAAGCGCCCGUAGGCGGCCUGACAAGUUGGACGUGAAAGCUCCUGGCUUAACUGGGAGAGGCCGUUCAAAACUGUCAAGCUAGAGUCUGGAAGAGGAGAGCGGAAUUCCCGGUGUAGUGGUGGAAUGCGUAGAGAUCGGGAGGAACACCAGUGGCGAAAGCGGCUCUCUGGUCCAAAACUGACGCUGAGGGGCGAAAGCGUGGGGAGCGAACGGG